rnacentral:lncRNA from 12 species
GUUAUAUUUAGAAGUAGACUUAAAAUAUGACAGUUCCUGACAUGGUAUUUAUUAAGGAACACACUUCACAUAUGGGAGCUGACUUUUUGCUCUAGGAUGCCUUGCCUUAUACCUCCUUUAUAUAGAACAAACAAAAAGGCUUUUUUGUACAUGACAUUGUGGCAGGGCUUCUCAAUUUAAUUCUCUGAUGUAGUUACAAAAAGGCUUUAAGUAGGUAACCACUGCAUAAGUUGCCAUUUCAAUAUUGAUAGAAGCCAAAUAUAAAAUUGGCAUCAGUAGUGCAUUAUGUUACUGAAAACUUCUGAUUUUUUGUUUGUUUGUGCGUUUGUCUCUAAUUUUGACAUGCCCUUAGUAAUCAUCUGAUACUUUCCUCAUGGGCCACCAUUCCCAUGCUCCCUUUAGCUGACGGUAGAAAUAGCAAGCUGUCAAAAAAAUAUUUCUCCCAUUCUUCCAUUGUAGAUUUGUUGCUGGGCCUGUGGUUGCUCAUCCAGAGACUGUAUUUCUUGGACUCCCUCAUAGCCAGAUGCGGUCCUUCAGGUCACACUGAUAAGAAAAAUGGGAAAAAAUAUAUCAAAGUCCUGAUAUCCAGUCAAGGCCAUUUACCCCUGUGCCAGGGAACAAGGCUUCAUUCUAAGUCUCACCAGACGAAAUGGGAGUUUGGAAGAGGAAAUAACCCAGGUAAAUUUGACUUAUUUCCAUUGUAAUUAACCUGGUAGUACCAAAAUACUUAUCAAGCAUUUCCUCUAUACCAUAUGCAGUAUAUUCAUUUUCACUUAAUCUUUAAAAUAUUAUUACCAUUUAAUUGGCAUCCAGAUUUAAUAGAUAGCUGUCAAUCUUAUUCCCAAGGUCAUGAUGUGGAAGUGCAUGAGUUUGAAAUUUGAAUUCAAAGAUUAAAUUACAAAGUUUGUGCUCCUUUCAGUAUUUCUAAGUUGUCCUCAAUCCUAGUUAUGCAUCAGAAUCUCCUGGGUAGCUUUAAAAAAUAACAUAUCCAGACAUUAUCCCCAGAUAUCCUUUUGUAAUUUGUCUAGUAAGGGGCCCAGGUGUGAGUAUGUUUCUUAUUUUGGUAAUCCUCCCCCAUAAUUCAAAGGUAUAGCUGGGAUUAAGGACUAUUUUUUUUCUUUUUAAAAGAUAUUAAUUAAUUAAUUUAGAGACUGCACAUAUGCAUGAUGGUGGGGGGCAGAGGGAGAGGGAGAGAGAGAAUCUCAAGCAGACUUCAUGCUCAGCAUAAAGUCUGUUGCAGGGCUCAUCUCACAGUCCUGAGAUCAUGACUGGAACCAAAAUCAAGAGUUGGUCAUUUAACAGUCUGAGCCACCCAAGUACCUGAGGACUAGUGUUGUGUGCGUGGUCAGAGGAAGGAUAAAAUUUAGUAUACUGUAAUAGUUUUAAAAUGUGGUCUAGGAUCAAUAGCAUCAGUCUCAUCUGAUGACAUAUUAAAAAUGUAAAAACACUGAAUUAGAAGCUUUAGGGGAGGGGCUCAACAAUCUGUGUUUUAAGAAUGUAUGUUAAAAUUUGAGAACAGUUGGCAUAGAGAUUAAGGGUCGUGGGUUUGAGCCCAAGAACAGGUAGGUUAUUAGUGGCUUUCAACAUUUAACAGCUAUGCACAUUAAAUCAAGUAACUUAAUAUCUCUAGGUCUCAAUUUCUGCAGAUGUAAAAAUAAAAAGAUAAUGUUAUUUAUUCCUCUGACA